GGAUUUGGUCACUUACUGACUUUGGGAUUAUCAUCUUCAUCACUUUUACUAUCCUGAUUCUCAUCAUUUUUCUUCAUUUUAUGAUUUCUACUCACCUCAUCAUUUAAUAAGUCUCUUUGAAUAUGAAAAAGUUCCUUUAAUUUUGCAUCAUCCUUGUACCUCAAGUCCUCCAUGCUUCCUAACUCAUCAAAGAUGACAUGAAAACCAUUUUUUACACACAAGGUUCUCUUGUUAAAGAUCUUGUAUGCUUUGUUGGUUAAUAAAUACAAAACAAACACCCCCUCAUCACUCUUGGGAUCAAACUUCCCAAAAUCAUCUUUGUCAUUAUUUAAGACAAAGUACUUGCAUCCCAAGGCCC
rnacentral:lncRNA from 1 species